UGCGAGGCCCAGAGGCGAGGCGGAAGCUGGCGGGCCAACGCGCGGGGAGGAGUCUGCUCUGGGAUGCGCGCACUUGGCGGUUCAUUCCCUGGUGGUACGGAAGGACUGCGUAGGUCGGCUUUUCAGAGCGCAGUUCCCGGUGCACGGACCACAGGCUUUUCUUCCCCCCGGCGCCCCGGUCCAGCUUUGGGGCGCUCUGACCCCAGCCGGUUUUGGCGGUGGCGCCUCCGGAACACAAUGCGCAUGCGCACGCCGAGAGGCUGAGGCCCGCGGCGGGAAGAGGGCUCCGCCUGGCGACUGAGGGCGUGGGUCAGUUUGGACUCGAGGCGGGCCUGGCGGCGCUCUAUCCCUCCCCCUGCUGCCGCGGCUCGCUUCUUUAACUCGCGAGCAUCUGGCGCGCUGUUCUGGGUUUCCACGUGGGCCCGCCCACCGCCGUCUUGAAGCUGUGCCAAGGUACAAUCAACAGUGAUUAUCAUACAGCUGGAAAGAAAGGCAGAGAUAAUGCUUUUUAUUUUAGAUUGGGCAAUUAAGCAGAAACUGCAGUUUUAGUAUGAAGAACGGAGGUGGAAGAACAAGCCGAAUCAGAAGACGAAAACUCUUCACAAGUUCUGAAUCAAGAGGAGUGAAUGAGAGCUACAAGCCUGAAUUUAUAGAGCUUAAGAAGUGGCUGAAAGAUAGGAAGUUUGAAGAUACAAACUUAAUACCUGCUCGUUUUCCAGGUACAGGAAGAGGGCUGAUGAGCAAAACAUCCCUACGGGAGGGACAGAUGAUUAUCUCAUUGCCUGAGAGUUGCCUGCUCACCACGGACACAGUGCUUAGAAGCUACUUAGGGGCGUAUAUUGCUAAGUGGCAGCCUCCUCCAUCUCCUGUGCUGGCUCUUUGCACCUUUUUAGUUUCAGAAAAGCAUGCUGGGGACCGGUCUCCCUGGAAGCCUUACCUGGAGGUUUUGCCCAAGGCCUACACCUGCCCUGUUUGUUUGGAGCCAGAAGUGGUGAAUCUUCUUCCCAGACCUUUGAAAGCAAAGGCCAGAGAACAGAGAACCCACGUGCAGGAGUUCGUUUCUUCCUCCAGAGACUUUUUCUCUUCCCUGCAGCCUCUGUUUUCGGAGGCCGUCGAGAGCAUCUUCAGCUACAGCGCCCUCCUGUGGGCUUGGUGCACUGUCAACACCAGGGCUGUGUACAUGAAGCGCGCGCCGAGGCAGUGCUUUUCCGCAGAGCCGGACACCUGCGUGCUCGCCCCGUUCCUCGAUCUGCUGAACCACAGCCCUGACGCCCAGGUAAAAGCAGCAUUUAAUGAGGAAACUCGCUGUUAUGAAAUUAGAACAGCUGUGAGCUGUGGGAAACACCAAGAGGUGCUCAUCUGCUAUGGCCCUCACGAUAACCACCGCCUGCUCCUCGAGUAUGGAUUUGUUUCCGUCCGCAAUCCUCAUGCUUGUGUUUAUGUCUCAAAAGAUAUACUCGUUAAAUAUCUUCCAUCAACAGAUAAACGGAUGAACCAAAAGAUUUCCAUUUUAGAGGAUCACGACUUUAUAGAAAAUUUGACGUUUGGAUGGGAUGGACCGUCUUGGCGGUUACUCACAGCUCUUAAGUUGUUAUGUCUGGAAGCUGAAGAAUUGACAUGCUGGAAAAAAGUACUUAUUGGGGAAAUAAUUUCAGAUACAAAUGAGAAGGCAAGUUUGGACAUAGCCCAGAAAAUAUGCCAUUAUUUCAUCAAGGAGAGUAAGGCUGUACUUCAAAAGGUUUCUCAUAUGAAAGAUGAAGAAGUGUCUUUGAUAAACCAACUAACUUUGGUAGAAACACUGUGGACAGAAGAGCUGAAGAUUCUCCAGGCCUCUGCUGAGACCCUAACCAGUUUGCAAACAGCUUUUACGUAACUUCACCGAAGUGCAGGUGAUCACCUCCAAUGAUGUUAGGACCCAGACAAGGCAAACAAGAACUCUAUGUGUUGCUACUGGGAUAAAAUGCAGACUUCAUAUUCUCUUGUGGGCCGUUGGAUCUCCUUGAGUGAGAAACGCAGACCGAUAAAUACUAGUUCAAGGUGAUGGCUGACAGAGAAGGGACCUGGCCAGAAGUUUUCACACCAGAAUAUUGGAGGCUGGCAGUCGGAAGUCCUGGAGGAAUGAAGGAGUCCUGGAGGCUGGCAGUCGGAAGUCCUGGAGGAAGGAAGGAGUCCUGGAGGCUGGAAGUCGGAAGUCCUGGAGGAAGGAAGGAGUCCUGGAGGCUGGAAGUCUGAAAUCAAGGUGUCAGCAGAGUUGGUUUCUUCUGGAGGCUCUAGGGCAGAAUCUGUUCCAGGUCUCUCUCCUUGCUUCUGCGGUUGCUGGCAAUCCUUGGGGUUCCCUGGCUUGUAGCAGCGUCACCUUAAUCUCUGCCGCUAGGGCCAGCAUCACCUUCCUGUGUCUCUCUGUGUAUCUGCUUCUGCUUCUUUUCCAUUAAAAGGACUCGGCAUUGGAUUGAGGGUACACCUGGUUAAUCUAGGGUGAUCUCCUCUUGAGAUCCUUCACAUAAUUACAUCUAUAAAAACCCCGUAAGGUCAUAUUCAUGGGUACUGGUGCUUAGGACUUGGACCUUUCUUAUGAGGGUGUGGUGAGGACACGGUAGAGGAGGGAAGAACGUUUCCUCUACUCUCUUAGGUUCAGUGGCUGGGGCUUGCAAAUGAACUGGCAAUAGACAGACCAAGAGGAGAAAGAUUUACUUUGCAUGCAUGUGAGUGUUGCAGGAAGGGGGACCCCUUCCAGGGCCCAAGAAUGGGCUCUUGUCUAACACUCAGAAACGAAUUGUCUGAGAAUUCACACGUGCUGACGAAGCAAGAGACUUUAUUGGGAAGGGGCGCCCGGGAGGAGAGCAGCAGGGUGAGGGAACCUAGGCGGAUAGCUCUGCCGCGUGGCUCGAAGUCUCAGGUUUUAUGGUGACGGGAUUAGUUUCUGGGUUGCCUCUGGCCAAUCAUUCUGGCUCAGGGUCCUUUCUGGUGGCACACACAACUGCUCAGCCAAGAUGGAUUCCAGUGAGAAGGAUUCUGGGAGGUUGGUAGGACAUAUGCACUGGCUUCUCCUCUCUUCUUUUGCCCUUUCCCGUAUUCUUCCCGUUUGUGUUGGCUUGUGAGUUCCGUGUUCUGGCUAGGAUCUCCUGUCAUAAAAUAACUCAUGCAAAUUGUUGCUGUCUUUGCCUGGCCAGGGCAGGCGGUUUCAGUCAGUGUUUUCCCUAACAUAAGGGCCACACAGAAAAGAAAUGAAAACUCCAAAAUGUAGUUAGGUUUCAGAGCUUAUAUGUCAUUUUUUUUUUUAAAAAAGGUGAUAUACUGUAGAGAAAAGACUAGACAAAGGAAAAGGGGUUUGUACUUCUGGGGGGAGGGUAAAUUGUGGGAAGGUGAAUGUUUGGGGAAACUAAUGGAAGAUAAGGGCUGUUUAGUAAGGUUUGUUAUGCAGACCAAGUUGGCAAUCUCCAGUGAUAGGAAUCUCUGGGGAUUAAGAGUUGUUCUCUUCCUGGUGUGGGGACAGGGGAGGACACCUUAACAAAUGGAAGUUUAUGCCCUGAUUUUAGGCAAAAAGGAGGAGGGCAGAGAGUUCCUCCUGCACCUGCUGUGUCUCAGUUGCCUUCAGCGCAAAAGAGUCCUUAUGCCAAAGUGGCGUGUUUUGGGGUGGCAUAUUCUGAUCCCUUUCAACACCCUUCAACCCACCACACAUAUAAUGGAUGACAUUCACAUCCAGGCUAUAUAGCUAUAUAUACAUCUGAUAUAAUGACACAUCCCAUGAGUGGACUCAGAUUUUUGGAAAAUACAAAGAAAUCUUGCAGGGAAAUAAGGCAAAUGACACUGUGCUUUUUUGGGUGACUUUUAUAAAUACAUUUAUCCACAUGUUAAAUAAAGCAGCCAUGUGAUGAUCUCAAAAACUGUUCACUUUGCAAAAAACUGUUAAUGUGAUUAUUGAAAAUUAUUUAAAAGUGUAUUUUAUGGUACAGAUUUAAAAAAAAAUGAGUAUUGAUUUUGUUCUCCUUCUGUAUUCCUCAGAUAAUUCAGUAGGCACGUGCUACAAUAAAUACGUUUAAAUAAAGACCAUUUUGUUAAAAGUCACGAUAAAUGGAAUUCACAGAUAUUUGAAUGCUAUUAGUAGGGAGAGAUCACGUGAUGGCCUUGAGCUGCAGGUGGCUUUCCCUGCUUAUAAGGGACACAGUCAUAUUCAAGCUGUUUGAUUUUUUUUUUUUUUGGUGAUACGUGCCUGAGAGUAAAUUUGAAAUAAUUUGAAAGUAAAUUGGAAAAAAAUAAAGAAUACUGAAUACA